rnacentral:rRNA from 1 species
AGAGCGAACGCUGGCGGCAGGCCUAACACAUGCAAGUCGAGCGCGUGUAGCAAUACACGGGCGGCAGACGGGAGAGUAACACGUGGGAACGCGCCCUUCGGUUCGGAAUAACUCAGGGAAACUUGAGCUAAUACCGGAUACGCCCUUACGGGGAAAGAUUUAUGCCGAAGGAACGGCCCGCGUCCGAUUAGCUAGUUGGUGAGGUAACGGCUCACCAAGGCGACGAUCGGUAGCUGGUCUGAGAGGAUGACCAGCCUCACUGGGACUGAGACACGGCCCAGACUCCUACGGGAGGCAGCAGUGGGGAAUAUUGGACAAUGGGCGCAAGCCUGAUCCGGCCAUGCCGCGUGGAUGAUGAAGGCCUUAGGGUUGUAAAAGUCCUUUUAACGGGGAAGAUAAAUGACGGUACCCGUAGAAUAAGCCCCGGCUAACUUCGUGCCAGCAGCCGC